rnacentral:rRNA from 1 species
GAUGAACGCUGGCGGCGUGCCUAAUACAUGCAAGUCGAGCGAACAGAUGAGGAGCUUGCUCCUCUGACGUUAGCGGCGGACGGGUGAGUAACACGUGGAUAACCUACCUAUAAGACUGGGAUAACUUCGGGAAACCGGAGCUAAUACCGGAUAAUAUAUUGAACCGCAUAGUUCAAUAGUGAAAGACGGCUUUGCUGUCACUUAUAGAUGGAUCCGCGCCGCAUUAGCUAGUUGGUAAGGUAACGGCUUACCAAGGCAACGAUGCGUAGCCGACCUGAGAGGGUGAUCGGCCACACUGGAACUGAGACACGGUCCAGACUCCUACGGGAGGCAGCAGUAGGCAAUCUUCCGCAAUGGGCGAAAGCCUGACGGAGCCACGCCGCGUGAGUGAUGAAGGUCUUCGGAUCGUAAAACUCUGUUAUUAGGGAAGAACAAAUGUGUAAGUAACUAUGCACGUCUUGACGGUACCUAAUCAGAAAGCCACGGCUAACUACGUG